rnacentral:rRNA from 1 species
UGAAUACGAGACGCUACGGCGUCGAAGCAGUCUAUGUCAUACUUCCAAGAAAAGCUUGCACUGUCAUAAACAAAUAAUGCCUGUACCAUAACCGACACAGGUGGGUAGGUAGAGUAUACUAAGGGGCGCGAGAUAACUCUCUCUAAGGAACUCGGCAAAAUGACUCCGUAACUUCGGGAGAAGGAGUGCCUUAUUUAUAAGGUUGCAAUAACAAGAUCCAAGCAACUGUUUAUCAAAAACACAGGUCUCCGCUAAGUCGUAAGACGAUGUAUGGGGGCUGACGCCUGCCCAGUGCCAGAAGGUUAAAGAAGUUGGUUAGCAUUAGCGAAGCUGAUAACUGAAGCCCUGGUGAACGGCGGCCGUAACGAUAACGGUCCUAAGGUAGCGAAAUUCCUUGUCGGGUAAGUUCCGACCCGCACGAAAGGCGUAAUGAUUUGGAUACUGUCUCGGAGAGGGGCUCGGUGAAAUAGACUUGUCUGUGAAGAUGCGGACUACCUGCACCUGGACAGAAAGACCCUAUGAAGCUUUACUGUAACCUGAAAUUGAAAUUGGACUUUAUUUGCGCAGUAUAGGUGGGAGGCGUUGAGAAUAUUCUUGCGGGAAUAUUGGAGCCAUCAGUGAGAUACCACUCUUGUAAUGUUAGAUUUCUAACUUUGAAUCAUUAUCUGGUCAAAGAACAGUUUCAGGCGGGCAGUUUGACUGGGGCGGUCGCCUCCUAAAUGGUAACGGAGGCGCACAAAGGUUUCCUCUGAACGGGUAGAAAUCGUAUCUAGAGUGUAAAGGCAUAAGGAAGCUUGACUGUGAGACCUACAAGUCGAGCAGGGACGAAAGUCGGUCUUAGUGAUCUGACGGUGCUGAGUGGAAAGGCCGUCACUCAACGGAUAAAAGUUACUCUAAGGAUAACAGGCUGAUCUCCCCCAAGAGUUCACAUCGACGGGGAGGUUUGGCACCUCGAUGUCGGCUCAUCGCAUCCUGGGGCGGUAGUACGUCCCAAGGGUUGGGCUGUUCGCCCAUGAAAGCGGUACGCGAGCUGGGUUCAGAACGUCGUGAGACAGUUCGGUCCAUAUCCGGUGUAGGCGUUAGAAUAUUGAGAGGAGCCUUCUUUAGUACGAGAGGACCGAGAAGGACAUACCUCUGGUGUACCAGUUAUCGUGCCAACGGUAAACGCUGGGUAGCUAUGUAUGGAGAGGAUAACCGCUGAAAGCAUCUAAGUGGGAAGCCCACCUCAAGAUAAGUAUUCAC